UUCUAAUGCUUUGAUGACAAAAUUCUAUACCCAGCUCUUUGAGAUCUCUCUGAAGAUCCAGGAAAAUAAUAUGUUCAUUUUGUCUGAGCUUUUAA